AGUCGAGCGAACAGACGAGGAGCUUGCUCCUCUGACGUUAGCGGCGGACGGGUGAGUAACACGUGGAUAACCUACCUAUAAGACUGGGAUAACUUCGGGAAACCGGAGCUAAUACCGGAUAAUAUAUUGAACCGCAUGGUUCAAUAGUGAAAGACGGUUUUGCUGUCACUUAUAGAUGGAUCCGCGCCGCAUUAGCUAGUUGGUAAGGUAACGGCUUACCAAGGCAACGAUGCGUAGCCGACCUGAGAGGGUGAUCGGCCACACUGGAACUGAGACACGGUCCAGACUCCUACGGGAGGCAGCAGUAGGGAAUCUUCCGCAAUGGGCGAAAGCCUGACGGAGCAACGCCGCGUGAGUGAUGAAGGUCUUCGGAUCGUAAAACUCUGUUAUUAGGGAAGAACAAAUGUGUAAGUAACUAUGCACGUCUUGACGGUACCUAAUCAGAAAGCCACGGCUAACUACGUGCCAGCAGCCGCGGUAAUACGUAGGUGGCAAGCGUUAUCCGGAAUUAUUGGGCGUAAAGCGCGCGUAGGCGGUUUUUUAAGUCUGAUGUGAAAGCCCACGGCUCAACCGUGGAGGGUCAUUGGAAACUGGAAAACUUGAGUGCAGAAGAGGAAAGUGGAAUUCCAUGUGUAGCGGUGAAAUGCGCAGAGAUAUGGAGGAACACCAGUGGCGAAGGCGACUUUCUGGUCUGUAACUGACGCUGAUGUGCGAAAGCGUGGGGAUCAAACAGGAUUAGAUACCCUGGUAGUCCACGCCGUAAACGAUGAGUGCUAAGUGUUAGGGGGGUUUCCGCCCCUUAGUGCUGCAGCUAACGCAUUAAGCACUCCGCCUGGGGAGUACGACCGCAAGGUUGAAACUCAAAGGAAUUGACGGGGACCCGCACAAGCGG
rnacentral:rRNA from 2 species